GCAGGCAUCGCUGCUGCGCUGGACGACUUUGUGCGAGGCCAUGGCCAUGGUGAUGUGCUGUUGGAGAACGGCGCAGGGCUAAGGUAGUCGAUGUGAAUGGCCAAUGGGUAUGUAAUGGUUUAGUCCUCGUGAAUUCCCAUUCUGUUUUUAGUCCUGUGUAGUGUUGUUCAAUUUGGGCGGGGCUUACAUUCUCUGUCGGUGUACUAGAAUAGGGGUACCCUAGUACCCCAAACUUGUGCACGGGCAGUUGCAGCACCCCGCGGCAAAGCUUGCCGGGCGAACGCCAAGAUCCUCCAAGGUUCCCUUGGAGCCAUUCAAGAACAAAGUAUUUAAGCUCAUGAGACAAGGCCCCGGCAAGAGGAGCUUGCCGGGAAGGCCAACCAAGGUACCUCGAGGCCCGGUAAGCGACAAGCCUCCGGACCCGACAAGAUAACAGCAGCAGCAAGGCACUCGCCGCGGCAGGCGGCCACUCUGUGCCCACGCUCCAGCGCAUCCACCAACGUGUCGCCCUAGGGGCUUCUCCAGGCGCGUGUGGCGGGAGGCUGUGCAGCCAGCGGUGCGCAGGGGCAUGCGAAGCUAACAAGAUCCCCAUCGUGGUGAACGGUGGCGCCCCUAACGGUCCUUUUCUGCACUGUUUGGGUGAUGCAGACGGGCACUUAAUGCCCUUGUCCCCUGCCGUCAGGGUUAGGUAGGGUGCACUGUACAAGUAGCUGUACCAACCACCUCACUUUUUACAUUUGUACCCUUCUCUGUGUUGCCACCUGUCGGUGACCCCUUUGGUGUAUAAAAGGAGGCCCAUGCGCAACGUAGGGGGGUUGGGGUUCGGUUCGGUUCGACUCAUUCGUAACCCAGAAAGACACUACGCUCUCUCUCUAGAGCAAGAACAGAAUAGAACCAGACAAGCAGCAGUAGGAGUGUUAUCUCUCCGGAGAGCUCCGAAGCUGGGUAAACUGCUCGUGUGCUUCGCCUCGAUCUGCUCUUCGUGUGAUCUCCGCCCCCCGCCGAACCGAAAGGGGCCCGGUCCACCGGCCCCAUAGGUGUUCAAGGAUCAGUUUCCCCCGACAUCUUUGGCGCGGCAGGUAGGGGGCGUCGAGAUUGUGUGAACCUGAUCCGGCGUUAACACGAGCUAGAUCUUCAUUCCCUUCAUCAACAUGCCACCGAAGAAGAAGACUUCGGCGGCAGCCGCUCCAUCCACGUCACUUCCGCCACCGUUGGAGCAAACGGGUGGUGGAAUGGACGCCGGCGGAAGAAUGGACGUCGACGAGGAAGCUCAUGAUGCCGCCAGGUCCAAGAACAAGGCUGCACAAACCUCGGCGACUGUACAUGUUCCGCGCCACUCUCAGGAGGCGCAAGAUCAACAGCGUCAUGGCACUCGCAGUGCCAUACGCGUGAUAGGCCAAGACCAAGCUGGUGGAUCUCGGGGCGCUCAAGACCAGCAUGCACGCCAGCAUGUUGGCACGAGCGGGGCACGGUCGCCUGGACGGGAUACUGCUCCUUCUAACAUAGUUAGAAGUUCGAGCACGUCCCGCUCCUCAUGCCAUCCGCCCUGCCACCCACCACUCCAGCAAAAGCUUUGGCGCGAGCUCAACUUCUCCUAGAUUAUGCUCCGACGUCGGUCAAGAUCGACGAAUGGAGGGCCACCAUUCAGAGUCUCAUCGGCUACGCCAACGGCAACACUCCAUGGCGGCCGAGUGCGUCGCCGCCGCGGCAGGGUUGUCGGGCGCGAGCCAGUGGCGACGAAACAGGUGGAGGUGCAACUACCAUGCAAUCACCACCCCAAAGGCCAAGAUCGCCGACUCGCCGGAUCCACCUCGACAGCGACUCCACCGCAUCUUCAGAUCCACGAGCUCGUCGCAAUCAGCGCCAAGUUCUUCAUGAUCGACAACAAGAAGACGCUCGAACUCGCAUCGAGCGCCGAAGAGAAGCGCGACGUCAAUCUGACAAGCGCUGGGCCCUCUGUUGACAUGCAUGCGCCAGGGGAACCAGGCGAUCUGCCGUAUGCGGUAGGUUGCCCUGCGUUCACUCGUGAGCUACGGCAAGUCCAGUGGCCCAGCACGAAGAACUUCAAGCCAGACGUACCGGAGAAGUACGACGGCAAGACGCAUCCCGCUGGUGCUCAAGCCCAACGUACCGGAGAAGUUCCUCAGCAUCUACACCAUCACGGUGCAGGCUGCCGGGGGACGGGAUGACAAGAUCCUUGCCAACUACUUCCCACUGGUGCUCAAGCCCAACGUCAGAUCUUGGCUUAUGCACUUGCCGAACAACUCAAUAUCCUCUUGGGCUGAUCUGUGCCAUCAAUUCGUCGGCGCCUUCACAGGCGGACACAAGCCUCAAGGCCAGGAGAGUGAUCUUCAUCUGCUCGCCCAGAAGGAAGGAGAGCCCCUGCGCAAGUACAUUCAGAGAUUCAGCAGUGUGCAGCACAACAUCCCAGACGUCCACCCUGCCGCGGUGAUCAGCGCAUUCCAUCAGAACGUGCGGAACCGCAGGAUGCGGGAGGAAAUACCGAUGUGCAAGAUCAGGGACGUUAGUGAGUUAUAUGCACUGGCCGACAAGUGUGCACGCGCUGAGGAAGGGAGGAGACUCCCCGGAGAGAAUGUAAGAGCGGGAGGAUCUGACAGUGAAGAUGCUGCCCCGUCAAGGAAAAACCGGCGGCGGAACAACAGAAGGAGGAAAGGCAAAGAGGUGCUAGUUGUUGAGUAGUCCGGCAACGGUGGUGGCGCCAAGGAAGCCAAAGCUGGUGACUCCGGCAAGGAGGUUGCCGCGGAGGUGGCGGUCGCCGACAAGCAGGAUGGCACCAACAAGCAGUAUUGCAAGAUCCACCGCAACAAGGGCCAUGAUCUCCAGAACUGUAAGAAAGUUGAGCAGCUUGUUGAGCGACAGAAAGCUGAAUACGAGCGGCGCGACAAGGAGAAGGCCCAGGAAGGUGCUGGGGGAUCCGGCAAGAAACGUCCCGGCCGAGGAGGACGCCGCGGUAAGGCCAAGCAGCGGCAAGGAGACAGACCUCCCCGCGGCCGCGACAAGGAUGAAGAUGACAACGACGAUGAAGACAUGGAUGACGAGAAGACUGAUGAGCAGGAGUUCCAGAAAGCCACAAAGGUCCUGUGCGUUGAUGGUGGUGCUUCUCUGCAUACCUCACACCGUCAGCUCAAGUAGUGGGUGCGGGAAGUUAAUGCAGCAGAACCACCCGUCGAGUCACGCAAGCCUCUGAAAUGGUCCGGCACGCCUAUCAUCUUUGAUAUUGAGGACCACCCGGAUCGCAUAACUGUGGUCGGGUGCUUGCCGAUGUUGGUUUCACCAACAAUCCACAACCUCAAGGUCACUAAGAUGCUAGUUGACGGUGGGGCCGGCUUGAACCUGAUCUCCUCCGCGGUGCUCCAGAAACUCCAGAUCCCCGACAGCGAGCCCGAAGAGACUGGUACAUUUCAAGGAAUCAACCCGGGAAGGAGCAAGCCGAAGGGAAAGAUCACGUUGCCGGUAACAUUUGGCAGCGAACUGAACUUCAGGACUGAGAGGGUCACAUUUGAUGUUGCUGACUUUCCAUUACCUUACAAUGGAAUCCUUGGCUGUCCGGCACUCGCCAAGUUCAUGGCAGCCUCUCACUAUGCGUACAACAUAUUGAAAAUGCCAGGCCCGAUAAAUGUCAUCUCUGUCCCUGGCGACAAGAAGGAUGCUCUUAUCUGUGCCGACAAGAUCUACCGGGAAGCAGCAGCCGCAGCAGAACACAAGACACUUGCCGCUGAAGCUCCCGGGGGAAGAAGAAGACCAAGUCCGGCAAGAUCUCUGAUGCCCACUCCAGCAAGCGCACCUCUUCGGAGUGUUGCGCUACCGUCGAGGACGCACCAUCGAGCUCCACCAGCAAGUGUAAGAAGGCAAUGGCAGCUCCACCUGAGACCAAGAAGGUGUCCGCCAAGGAGGAUGGCGCUAGUGGUACCUUCACCAUCAGCGCCACUCUUGACCCCAAAUAGGAAAGCGCGCUCGUUGCUUUCCUGCGGGAAAAUAUCGACGUGUUUGCAUGGCAACCGUCUGAUAUCCCCGGUGUUCCCAGGAAAGUAAUUGAACACCACCUUGCCGUCUGUCCUCAUGCGCGGCCCGUCAAGCAGAGAGUCGGGAAGCAGGCAGUGGAGCGCCUAGAAUUCAUCGCAGAAGAAAUCAAGAAGUUGGAAGCAGCAGGCCUUGUCAGAGAGUACUCCAUCCCACGUGGUUGGCCAAUCCUGUUGUUGUGCGCAAGGCUAAUGGGAAAUGGAGACUUUGUAUUGACUUCACUGAUGUUAAUAAAGCUUGUCCCAAAGACCUAUUUCCCUUGCCGCGCAUUGACCAGAUUGUUGACUCCACAGCCCGAUGUGAUUUGCUUUCAUUUCUUGAUGCAUACUCAGGAUACCAUCAGAUCUUCAUGGCAGAAGAGGAUGAAGAGAAAACCGCAUUUAUCACCCCGUGUGGCACGUACUGCUUCGUACGGAUGCCUUUCAGUUUGAAGAAUGCUGGUUCAACAUUCGCAAGGGUAGUCCACCACGCUUUUGAGCCGCAAAUGCACAGAAAUGUGGAAGCUUACAUGGAUGACAUAGUGGUCAAGAGCAAGAACAGGGCGACCCUGAUUCAAGAUUUAGACAAGACAUUUGCAAAUCUGCGCAAGAUCAACCUCAAGCUUAACCCCGAGAAGUGCGUGUUUGGAGUCCCUUCCGGCAAGCUUCUCGGGUUCUUCAUGUCUCAGCGGGGAAUUGAAGCCAAUCCCGACAAGAUCAAGGCCAUUGAGCAGAUUGAAGCACCAAAGCGCGUCAAGGAUGUACGAAGGCUUGCCGGUUGCAUGGCUGCUCUCAGCAGGUUUAUCUCUAGAUCUGCUGAGCCCGCCCUGCCAUUUUUCAAAAUUUUGAAAAAGGCAGGUCCAAUGAAAUGGACUCCGGAGGCGGAGGCUGCGCUGCAGGACUUGAAGAGAUACCUGUCCUCCACUCCAAAACUUGUCGCACCCUAAGCCGCAAGAGAAGUUGCUACUGUAUAUAGAGGCAACCGAUCAAGUGGUUAGUGCUGCAUUAGUGGCGGAGAGAGAGGCAGAUGAUGAGCCAGCAACCACGGCAGAUGCAUCCAGCGACAAGCAGGGGGCUUCGCCGACAAGCUCUGGUCCCGACAAAGAUGGAUCUGCGCAGGAGCAUGAUAAGAUGCAGAAGAGAAUGGUGCAGCGUCCAGUUUACUUUGUCAGUUCCCUUCUGUAGGGGGCUAGAUCAAGGUACUAUGGUGUGCAGAAGUUGCUUUUCGGCCUUCUCAUGGCCUCGAGAAAGCUGCGCCAUUACUUCCAAGCACAUGAAAUCACAGUCAUCACUCGCUUUCCGCUGAAGAGGAUACUGCAAAAUCCAGAAGCAACAGGCAGGAUUGUCGAGUGGGCGCUGGAACUGUCAAGCUUUGGCCUCAAGUUUGAGAGCACUUCAAUUAUCCAAAGCAGAGCAUUGGCAGAGUUCAUAGCAGAGUGGACGCCAACCCUAGAUGAAGAAAUUCCAGAGACGAGCAUCCCCGUCAAAGAGGCAAGCAGAGAGUGGCUGAUGUACUUUGAUGGUGCCUUCUCGCUGCAAGGCACUGGUGCGGGCGUGCUGCUUGUCGCACCCACCGGAGAGCACCUCAAGUACGUAGUCCAGAUGCACUUUCCCAAGGAGCAAGCAACCAACAAUACUGCAGAGUAUGAAGGAUUGCUUGCCGGUCUCAGAAUCGCAGCAGACCUUGGGAUCAAGAAGCUCAUUGUCAGGGGUGACUCACAGCUUGUCGUCCGCCAAGUGAACAAGAACUACCAGAGUCCAUUGACGGAAGCAUAUGUUGAUGAAGUGAGGAAGCUAGAAGAGCACUUGGACGGCCUACAGAUGGAACAUAUCCCGAGAGCUCGGAAUGACAUUGCUGAUGGCCUGUCAAAGUGCGCCGCAGUAAAGUUACCUGUGGAACCAAGGAUCUUUGUGCUCAAGUUGACUCAACCAUCCGUAACACCCUCAACUGGACAAAGCAAGAAGAGGAAGUUGGUUUCUAGCGACUACUUUCCGGCAGAGCUCCCCGAAGCCGCCGCCAAGAAAGUCCCCAAGAUCAACACCAAGAAUGCUGAGGGGCAGUCUGCUCCGGCAAACCUUAUGGCUUGUUCCAUUGAAGCAGACGCUCCCGACAUGUUUUGCUCCGGCAAGCUUGCCGGGGAACAUCAAGCUCCGGCAAGCUUGCCGGGGAACAUCAAGCUCCGGCAGGGCCGCAAGUCCUUGCCGUAGAAGCGGAUGUUCCCGUAGCAGCAGAUGUGCAUUUAGUCCUUGUUGUCGAGCCACAAGCUCCAGCAUGGGCACAUCAGAUUGUCCAUUUCCUUCAGACAGGAGAACUUCCCGAAGAGCAAGAAGAAGCGGAAAGAGUAGCCCGGCAGUCACAUAUGUACCAGUUUGUCGAUAACAUACUGUACAGACGAAGACUCAACGGUGUGAAAUUGAAGUGUAUUUGCCGGGAAGAUGGACAAAAACUGUUGGCAGAGAUACAUGGAGGCAUAUGUGGCCACCACAUAGGCGCAAGGGAACUUGCCGGCAAAGCUUUCCGGCAAGGCUUCUUUUGGCCGAUAGCCCUCCAGGAUGCAACUGCACAAGUAACCAAGUGUGAAGCGUGCCAGUUCCACUCCAAACAGAUAGACCAGCCAGCUCAAACUCUCCAGAUGACCCCUUUAUCCUGGCCAUUUUCGGUCUGGGGGCUCGAUAUCCUCGGCCCUUUCCCCCGAGAUGUCGGGGGCUUUGAGUACUUGUACGUCGCAAUCGAAAAUUCACAAAGUGGCCGGAAGUGCAGCCAGUGAGGAAGGUGACAGCACAGUCAGCAGUCAAGUUCUUCAGGUCAAUUGUUUGCCAUUUCGGGAUCCCUAACAGGAUCAUCACCGACAACGGCACGCAAUUCACGAGCCGCACCUUCAUGCAGUACGUCCAAGACCUUGGCACCAAGGUCUGCUUCGCUUCUGUUGCUCAUCCGAGAAGCAACGGUCAAGCAGAGAGGGCAAAUGCUGAAGUGCUACGCAGGCUCAAGACCAGAACUUUCGACAGGCUGCGCAAGUGCGGAAGAAACUGGAUCGAGGAGCUGCCGGUGGUUCUUUGGUCGAUCAGAACGACGCCAAAUCGAGCCACUGGCCAGACACCUUUCGCUCUAGUCUACGGAGCAGAGGCAGUUCUCCCCACGGAACUCGUAUACGGAUCGCCUCGAGUGCUCGUUUAUGAUGAGUUUGAGCAAGAACAGCUGCGACAAGACGACGCGCUGCUCCUUGAGGAAGAUCGUCUUCAGGCUGCUGUACGAGCUGCUCGAUACCAGCAAGCUUUGCGCCGCUACCAUAGCCGCAAAGUUAAGGCCAGAAGCUUCGAGGAAGGCGACCUUGUUCUUCGGCGCGUUUAGUCCGCCAAGAAUUCCAACAAGUUGACGCCAAAGUGGGAAGGCCCUUAUCGGGUGAGACGAGUCACAAGGCCCGACGCUGUCCGCCUUGAGACUGAAGAUGGCAUUCCGGUGAGCAACUCCUGGAACAUAGAACAUCUUCAUAAGUUUUUCCCGUAGGGCGCGGUUGCCGGAACCCCGUUCCGGCAACCACCUUUUGUACAAGUCUUGCCGCUGUUGCAUGUAAUCCUUUGUACAAAGCCGGGCGCAGAUCCCGUGCAUAAAAAGAACCCCAUGUGCUCCGCACAACUUGUCCAUUUCAUGCAUUAGUUUCUUUCUCGCAUGCGUUAUCUGACACUUUGUGCAACACCUACAUCCGGUGAGCAGUAACGAGCCGAAGGGCUCCAUAUCGUUAUUUUCUCUUCUUUCUUCUUUCAAAGGAAAAGAAGGUUCCCUCGCACACAUGUUUGCCGGGGGGAAGGAGAAGAUUGUGGUAUGGACCAGGCGUCGUUCAAGCGAAGUCUUGCCUUGCCGGGAAGCAAACGACAGAAAAGCUAAGUUGCCAAAGUUUGAGCAAUCAGUUUUUAAAUUUUUGAGUUAUCUUCCUCGAACGACCCUGCUUUGUAUGGAAAACCUGUGCGCGGAGGAACCAACUCAUGGCUUGUUGCGCCCUUACUUUGUUUCGAGUCCGCUCAACAGCUUAAGUGUGCUGCAUCUAGUCGCGACAAGGUUUCUUGUCGGAAGCAGUGCCGCCAGCAGGCUGCUGAAGUUCCGCACUCAGCGCUCGCGGCUCGGGUGCCUGCGCCGACAAGUUCCCUAGAAGCGUAGGGUAAAAACAUACAAAGGAAGGAAUCUAGUAGAGGAAAUAACAUAGCAAUUGAUAACAGAAAUAAAGUUAUAUUACAAGAUAACUUGUCGCAGCUCUAACAUAAUGUUUUCAUAACCUGAUUAGCAGCGGCAAGGGAAAAGAAGAAAUGGACGGCCUAGUCUAUGUGUCUGCCCUCGACCCUCUUGAUCUCGGCCACCUUGUCCACAAUGGGUGCGACAAGGGCCUUGAGUGCAUCCAGAUCGGCGUGAGGCGGCAAGGACCUGAGGACGUUGGUGAAGCUGAGGCCUGGAUUGCGGAAGGCCACCUUCAUCAGCACCUUCUGGAGAACCCCGGCGCAGAUUUUGCGUGACUCGUCGGCCAACUGCUUCAGGAUCCUCUCCCGGAGCCGCUGGAGUGCCGUCGCCACGCCCUUGAAGAACAGGCUGAGCUUGGCCCUGGGUUGAAGACCCUCGUCGGAAGGAUACCCAAAGUCCUCCAUCCCCAGCUGCGCUAGCUCCUCGUUGAUGUCUGCGGCAAUGUUCACCAGACCCUCAGUCCAGUGCUCCACAGUGUCUCUGAACGAGUUCUGGGUAACUACAAUGCUCUCCAGCAGCGCCGCGUCAGCCUUGACCUUCUCCGACAAGGUCUUCUCCCGCUCCUUGGCGGCCUCCAGCGUCUGCGUUAGCGUGGCCAGCUUCAGCUCCAGGUCUGCUUUGGAAUCCUUGGCGCCGCUGAGCUCCUUGCCCCUCUCAGCGAGAAGACCUUGUAGCUCACCGUGGGCGGCAGCAUCCUUCUCACGCUCACGCUUCAGCGCGGCAAGCUCCUCGCCGCUCUUCCCAAUGUUGGCCUCUAGCUGCGCCACCUUCUCCUCCAGCUCUUUCUUGGCGGCCUCUACAAUUGCCGCAGUGUCCUUUGCCUCCUUGAGCGCCCCGCCAAGUGCUUGCUCGCGCUCGGCGAGCUCUUCCUCAUAGCUGUCGAGGUUGGCCUUCCGCUGCACUAGUUCACCUUCCCGCGCGGACUGCUUCUCGGCGGCCAGCCUUUGCUCCUCCUCAGCUUCGGCCUUCUCGAGAAGGAAGGCCGUGCGCUCCUUGUCGAGUCGCUCCCGCUCCUGCGCCAGGGACCGCAGAGCUUCUUGAUUGUGGCCCUGGAGCUCCUCCGCGCGCUUCUCCAUGUCAACUCCCGCCUUUGCGACAAGCGCUUCCCGGGAAGCCAGCUAGGCUUGCCGGGCGCGGUAGAGUGACAGCAGCUUUCGUAGCAGCUGCUCCUCCUCAGGCUCGCCGCUGCUGCUGCUGGGCGCGUCGUCCAACGACAGUCCAGCAGAGGCAAGCACCUCCCCGUCGAAAGUUUCCCCCUUGACCGGCGCCCUGGAGCUCGACGCCCAGGGUAGCUUGAUGAAGAUAUUGUCGCCGGCCUUCAAGUAGGCGCCGGGCUGGGGCCCCUCGGAGCCCGGCUCUGCAGAAGCGGCAGAGGGAUCGGCGAUCGGCGCAGCGCCUGGCGCUCCUGCGGCCUCAGGGUCGUCAGUGCGAUGGCCCGACCCCUCGCCGGCUUCUACAGUGGCAGCCCUGGCGGCCUCCUCGCCGGCGGUCUCAUCAGCAUCGGCCCCUUCCUCGCCGGCGCCCUCUGUCUCCAUUGGCUCAGUAGCAGAGGGGUCUGAAGAACGAAGAAGGGAGAAAAAUCAAUCAAAAAUCCAAGAGAAGAAAAUCAGAAGAAGAAGAACCCAAGGGAUAGUUUUUGGAAAAGUGAAUUACCUGCGCCAAGAUCUGCAGUUGCGGUCUCAGUCGCCGCAGGAUCGACGGUGCUGUCCCUUGCCGGAGAGUUCUCCCUUGCCGGAGAGCGCUCCCUUACCGGGAACCCCUCCCUUGGCGGCGUAGUCGAAGCAGAUGGCACUUCGGGGCCAGCUUCUGGGCGCUCCUGAUGUGGCUGCUCUGCUCCUACACAAAUCAACAAGCAAGAUAUCAACAAAGGAAAAAGCACUCAAGUGCACCCGGCAGCAGAAGGCUAAACUAUGAACUUACGCUGGGGGCUGCUUUGAGGAGUGAUUGCCGGGUCUGUCAAGGUGGUCUCGGACCCACCUCCUGCUGACACGGUGGGGUCAUCCUCGAUGACAAUCACCGCGGCCUUGGCCCUCUUCGCCACUCUCUGGGCCAGCGUCCUGAAAAGAAAGGAGUCCAGAUUGGAGCAAGUCAGAUACAAGAUAUAAACAGCAAGAUUGAAGAACUACAAGAGCACCGAAGAAACUUACUCUUCUUCCUCCUCGUCGGAGCUGAGCGCGGAAAGAUUGAAGUCCGGCCCUCCUCCGGUGCGGCGAGGCGGAGGAGUAGGAUCCCUUGCCCGCUUGGCGGGGGCGGUGGCGGUGGCCCGGGAAGAUCCCGCUCCAGUUGCCGCUGUUGCGUGAGGCGCUCCCGCGGCAACAUUGCUUGCCGCGGUAGAGCGCGUCGCACGGCUCGGCGGCUGUUGACCCGGCUGCUGCCCCGCUGCGUCCCCGACCCUGCAAAGGCGCCUUCUUGGCGGGGCCGGGGGCUUCGCCUGCGGCAAGUUUUCUGAAGGCUCGGGGUCCUCCUCGCCGGCCUCGCUCGGCUCGGCUUCGGAACCGGCAGGCUCCUCCUCGCCAAUGAACUCCGCGCGCUCGGAGAGGUUUGCCGCCUCUGCAGCCUCUGCCUCCUCCACAGUGAACCCAAACAUGCCCGCGGCAGCUGCGGCCGCAACCUCUUCCGCCCUAGUGGCGAUGCGCUGCAGCUCCUCGUCGGUGGUGUCACGGGUGAGGCUCUUAUGCUCGUCAGCGUGGACCGGCACCUCUUCCAAGUUGUCGAAGAACGCUUGCACGACGUCAUCCGCAGGCUCUUGCCAAGUUGGAAUGAUUCCGUGUGAAUCACACAACGGCAUCGUGGCGCGGAUCCGGUCAAGCGAAGAAUUGUUGCAUAAUGGGACAACGCCCCUCAGCAGUGUGAAUGGGUGCUGGGGGUCGCGUUUGAACAACUCCAGGAGCAUUGCAUCCAGCUCCAAGACGGUGAAGUUGUAGUUGAGGCCCGGCCGCAGCCUCAUGAUGUCCGCCGAGUUCUUGAAUUCCCAGGCGGGCCUCCCCCUCUCCUGCAGGGGGGCGAUGCGGCGGCGGAGGAAAUCUGCGCCUACAACGCCUACAGUGAGCCUGGCAAGCCUGAGGCGAAGGAUCCUAAUAAUGGCGAUCUUCAGCCUCUCGUCUUCCGGGGCCACGUUGCUCCAGUCAUUGCCGCGCACUAUUGGAGUUUGGCGCACGGCGGUGAAGGGCUGCGGAUUCUCCUCGACAAUCCAACACCACUCCGCUCUCCACUCAUCCCACUUGCUGCGGAGCUCACCCUCCAAGUACGCCUCCUUCCUGCCGACUCUUGAGAUCCAGGCAAUCCCUCCGGCAAGCGGCUCUCCUCUCUCUACCCGAGGUAUGAAGUAGUGGCGGAAAAGGGCAACACUGGGGUGGACUCCGACAAAGUUUUCGCACAAAUGUGCGAAAACUGCCAUGGUCAGAAUGGCGUUGGGGGUGAAGUCAAGGAGGCGGAAGCCGUAUGUGUUCAUGAUAUCGUAGAAGAACUCUAAGAAGGGCGGGCAGAGCCCGCAAUAGAAGAAUAGCGCGAAGAAUGGGUACCCGUUUGGAGCCAGCUCCAAAGCAGCGGCCGGGAGUACCCUCGUGCGCGGAUGUGCACGCGUCUCCAUCGCCCAAAAGAGGUAGAAGUACUCCCUCAGCUCCUGCACGCCGAGCUGAGGGGAGAAGAUCGCCCGCUCCUUCCGCAGCGCCGCGAGCUGCUGCGCCUCGGCCGACUUCACGCCCUUUCCCUUGUCGGCUUUCAGGGCCAUGGCAGAGGUGGUGAGGGAGGUCGACAGCGUGGUGAUGCUGGUGGCAAUGGGGGGCGGAGCGCUGCUCUCUCGGCUUCGAGAAGAAGGGGGAGCGGCGGAGGUUCGUGAAGAUGGAGUAGCAGCAACCAGCGAGGGGCAACGAACUGCCCCUAUUUCCUCGGCUUAUAAAGAGGGACGGGGCGGACGUUUCGCCCUUCCGAAUAAACAACCACCCACGAUCUCUCCCACGAUGCCGCAUUCAACGCGUGCCGUUAUGGGAGAGCGUGGUGGAUACGGAGCGAGAUUCGGUGUGGCCCAGUCCGCGUGUGCCCGUGCCCUGUCUUGGGCCUGGCCCAACAGCGCUCGGCACCGUGUCUGGCCCAGGCCCGGGGGCUCCUGUCGGUGUACUAGAAUAGGGGUACCCUAGUACCCCGAACUUGUGCACGGGCAGUUGCAGCACCCCGCGGCAAAGCUUGCCAGGCGAACGCCAAGAUCCUCUAAGGUUCCCUUGGAGCCAUUCAAGAACAAAGUAUUUAAGCUCAGGAGACAAGGCCCUGGCAAGAGGAGCUUGCCGGGAAGGCCAACCAAGGUACCUCGAGGCCCGGUAAGCGACAAGCCUCUGGACCCGACAAGAUAACAGCAGCAGCAAGGCGCUCGCCGCGGCAGGCAGCCACUCUGUGCCCAUGCUCCAGCGCAUCCACCAACGUGUCGCCCUAGGGGCUUCUCCAGGCGCGCGUGGCGGGAGGCUGUGCAGCCAGCGGUGCGCAGGGGCAUGCGAAGCUGACAAGAUCGCCAUCGUGGCGAACGGUGGCGCCCCUAACGGUCCUUUUCUGCACUGUUUGGGCGAUGCAGACGGGCACUUAAUGCCCUUGUCCCCUGCCGUCAGGGUUAGGUAGGGUGCACUGUACAAGUAGCUGUACCAACCACCUCACUUUUUACAUUUGUACCCUUCUCUGCGUUGCCACCUGUCGGUGACCCCUUUGGCGUAUAAAAGGAGGCCCAUGCGCAAUGUAGGGGGGGUUGGGGUUCGGUUCGGUUCGACUCAUUCGUAACCCAAAAAGACACUACGCUCUCUCUCUAGAGCAAGAACAGAAUAGAACCAGACAAGCAGCAGUAGGAGUGUUAUCUCUCUGGAGAGCUCCGAAGCUGGGUAAACUGCUCGUGUGCUUCGCCUCGAUCUGCUCUUCAUGCGAUCUCCGCCGCCCGCCGAACCGAAAGGGGCCCGGUCCGCCGGCCCCAUAGGUGUUCGAGGAUCAGUUUGCCCCGACAUUCUCUCAUAGGAUCAGACCACACAAGGUCUCAUAAGCUUUGCCUUGUUUUGUUCAAAACAUAAAAACAUCCAUUAUCGAGGAAAGAGUCAUUCUCACAUAGCGAUUUUUUUGCCUCCCUGCAGAAUUCCAAUUGCUUUUGGAUUCAUAUGAUGCAGCCUACAUGUUCCCAUCAAUUAUUGCAUCUUGGUUUAUAUUAUGCAUCCCCGCUGACAGUUUCAUUGUUAAGUAGGAAUGAUGAUUACAUUUAUAAAUGAUAUAUGUAUGUAAUUGUGUGUUGCAUUAUUGCUGCUUCCAGUAGAUGUACUAUCUUUUCAGCAUUGACUUUUAAAGCAUUUUUGCUGACAAGAAGCUUCUCAGUCGUAAUGAUAGAGGCGGAGGUGUCCCGUCUUUCGAUGAGAUGAUGGAUUUCGCUUUGGUGGAAGUCGACUUUGACGAUCCGACUAUGAACGUGCGAGGACGUCGCGCCUUAGCAAUCGCUAAACCAACUCCGAGAGGUUAUUGACCACACCGGAGCACGAUCAACCUGACCACGAGGAUCUGUUUCCUGCGAGAAAACAAAGAACAAGCAAGAAACUGAGAUUGCAAUCUGGAUAUUGCGAAUAUAAGAUGAAAGCUUUAUUGAUCAAGGUGGGGUUCUGUGACGCCUUUGUCUGGUCGUUGAACACAAACGAAGUACACGAAGUUGCAGCUAUGGCGAACUUUAAUCUAAACAAAACCCAAAGUCUAAACGGUGCCCUAAGGGCUGUAUAUAUGGAGGAAGAGAGGGGGAAUUUCAUGGCCCUUGGUGGAGGGUUCCGAAAUCAACCCUAUCUCUUGUUUCCCCACACAUACGGACUCUAAAAAUAGCCUAUACUAAUGUAUUUCGAAAUUACAUGGGCCUGGCCCAAUAAAAAGGUGACGCGGCACCUAUAAUAGCCUCUGGACGAAAUUUAUGAAGUGGCAUCUUGUAUAUUUCGUCCAAGGCUUCAUGCACUCGUUAUGGUGGCUUCAAAGACCUGAAAUCAUCACUCGUAACUCUGUUCUUGUUCCCCUUGCGCAUGCCAUCAUCUCCAUGCUUUCUCUUGCUCCAAUGUUCAUCCUUCUCCAAGCUAGGCCCUUCAUUUGUAAGCAAAACAAAUGUAUCCAAUUUAGGCAGCAUCAUAUUCUCAUGAACAUUAGAAUCAUUACCAAGAAAGGAAAGUACCUGGUAAUUUAGUUGGCGUGCGCGAGCUCUUGUAAUUGGUCCAGUAUGUAUAGCAGCAGGGGCUGUGGGUGUAACAAUGGUAUUAAUGUCCUCAUCAUCCUCCCCUUCUUGAAAUGAAGUCGUCCUCGACGGAAGCUCAUCUUCCUCACCCAAAUAAGGCUUCAAAUCUGCAAUGUUAAAAGUGGGACUAACCCCAAAAUCUGCAGGCAGCUCAAGUUUGUAUGCAUUAUCAUUUAUUUUCUCUAACACCUUAAAGGGACCAUCAGCACGUGGCAUUAGCUUUGAUUUGCGCAAAUCAGGAAAUCUAUCUUUACGCAAAUGUAACCAAACAAGAUCUCCAGGUGCAAACACAACAUGUUUUCUACCCUUAUCUCCAGCAAGUUUAUAUUUAGCAUUCAUACGCUCAAUGUUUUCCUUAGUUAACUCAUGCAUUUUUAAAACCAAUUCAGCACGUUGUUUAGCAUCAAAAUUAACCUUCUCCGAAGAUGGAAGAGGCAACAAAUCAAUAGGUGCACGAGGUAGGAAACCAUACACAACUUCAAAAGGGCACAUCUUAGUAGUAGAAUGCAAUGAACGAUUAUAAGCAAAUUCAAUAUGAGGCAAGCAUUCCUCCCACAUUUUCUUAUUACUCUUCAAAACAGCCCAAACAUAGUAGACAAUGUUCUAUUGACUACUUCAGUUUGGCCAUCAGUUUGGGGGUGACAAGUAGUACUAAAAAGCAGUUUAGUCCCCAACUUAGCCCAUAAACAUCUCCAAAAGUGGCUAAGAAAUUUAGUAUCACGAUCUGAAACAAUAGUAUUUGGCACACCAUGCAAGCGAAUAAUUUCACGAAAGAACAAAUCAGCAACAUUAACAACAUCAUCGCUUUUAUGACAUGGUAUAAAGUGUGCCAUUUUCGAGAAUCUAUCCACGACAGCAAAUAUGCUAUCCCUCCCCUUCUUUGUUCGAGGUAAACCUAAAACAAAGUCCAUAGAUAUAUCCUCCCAAGGAACACUAGGUACAGGCAAAGGCAUAUAGAAACCAUGAGGAUUGAGUCGUGACUUAGCUUUUUGACAUGUAGUGCAGCGAGCAAUAAAACGCUCAACAUCCCGUCUCAUCUUUGGCCAAAAGAAAUGUGUAGCAAGUACGUCAUCCGUCUUCUUCACGCCAAAGUGUCCCAUUAAUCCUCCUCCAUGCGCCUCUUGCAACACAAAAGACGAACGGAGCUAGCUGGAAUGCAUAGCUUGUUAGCACGAAACACAAAUCCAUCGUUAACGACAAACUUGUUCCACAUUCUUCCUUCUUUACAAUUCUACAUUAUAUCUUUAAAAUCAGCAUCAUGCACAUAUUGACCUUUGAUGGUCUCCAAACCAAAUAUUUUGAAGUCAAGUUGUGAAAGCAUUGUAUAGCGACGAGACAAUGCAUCAGCAAUAACAUUUUCUUUUCCCUUCUUGUGUUUAAUGACAUAAGGGAAAGUCUCAAUGAAUUCAACCCAUUUAGCAUGUCUACGAUUCAGUUUAGCUUGACUUUUAAUAUGUUUCAAAGAUUCAUGAUCAGAAUGUAUAACAAAUUCUUUGGGCCAUAAAUAAUGUUGCCAUGUUUCUAAAGUCUGAACAAGAGCAUAUAAUUCUUUAUCAUAAGUAGAAUAAUUCAGACUAGGCCCACUCAAUUUUUUAGAAAAGUAUGCAACAGGUUUGCCAUCUUGUAAUAACACACCUCCUAAUCCAAUUCCACUAGCAUCACAUUCAAGCUCAAAAAUCUUAUUAAAAUCAGGAAGUUGGAGUAAAGGAGCAUGUGUCAACUUAUCUUUCAAUACCGUGAAGGCUUCUUCCUGUGCGGUACCCCAAAGAAAAGGCACAUCUUUCUUUGUAAGCUCAUUGAGAGGUGCAGCAAUGGUGCUGAAAUCUCUCACAAAACGCCUAUAGAAUCCAGCGAGGCCAAGAAAACUCCUCACUUGUAUGACCGUUUUGGGCUGCGGCCAACUCUCAAUAGCUUCAAUCUUGGCUUUAUCAACUUCAAUUCCCUGUGGAGUAACAACAUAGCCAAGAAAAGAUACUCGGUCGGUGCAAAAGGUGCACUUCCCAAGGUUACCAAAAAAACGUGCAUCACGUAGAGCAAUAAAACAGCACGUAAAUGUUCCAAAUGUUCUUCCAAAGAUCUGCUAUAAAUCAAUAUGUCAUCAAAGUAAACUACCACAAAUCAUCCAAUGAAAGCACGUAAAACUUCGUUCAUUAAUCUCAUGAAAGUACUAGGUGCAUUAGUUAACCCAAAAGGCAUGACUAACCACUCAUAUAAUCCAAACUUAGUUUUAAAUGCUGUUUUCCAUUCAUCUCCCAAUUUCAUACAAAUUUGAUGGUAUCCACUACGCAAAUCAACUUUGGAUAAUAUUGUAGAGCCACUCAAUUCAUCAAGCAUAUCAUCUAGCCUAGGAAUAGGAUGACGAUAACGAAUAGUAAUAUUAUUAAUGCCUCUACAAUUAACACACAUACAUGAUGUACCAUCCUUUUUCGGCACUAGAAUAAUAGGAACAACACAAGGACUAAGGGAUUCGUGUAUAUAACCUUUGUCGAGAAGCUCUUGUACUUGACGCAUAAUCUCCUUUGUCUCCUCUGGAUUGGUAUGGUAUGGUGCAUGGUUUGGCAGUGAAGCACCGGGAAUUAAGUCAAUCUGAUGCUCAAUCCCUCGAAUAGGCGGUAAUCCCAGUGGCACGUCUUGUGGAAAGACGUCAGCAAACUCCUGCAAAAUGUUAGUGACAGCAGGAGGCAAAGAGGAAGGCAUGUCCUCGAAUGAAAAUAAUGCCUCUUUGCACACAAAAGCAUAGCAAACAGAUUUGCUGAAAUCUAGCUCAUCAAUAUCAGAUUUGGUGGCAAAUAAACAUGCACUUCUCAAUUUAAUUUCAGAAGCAACACUACAUGGUUUAUUAUUAGGCUUCAUUUGUUGCUCAAAUUCUUUUGCCACAAUCUGAUUUUCACUCUUAUUCUUCUCCUGUUUUGCUUUAUUAGCUCUAUUAAUAUCAUAUUUCAAAAUGGAAUCAGGAGUCAUAGGAAGCAAAGUAAUAUUUUUAUCCUUAUGAACAAGAGUAUAGUGAUUGUUUCUACCAUGGUGUACAGAAUUUUUAUCAAAUUGCCAUGGUCUACCAAGUAAUAAGGAACAUGCUUGCAUAGGUACCACAUCACAAUCAACAUAAUCAGCAUAUGUAGAGAUACUAAAAUGCACACGAACAGUACGUGUUACCUUAACCUUGCCGCUGUUGUUGAACCAUUGGAUGUAGUAAGGAUGUGGAUGUGGUCUUGUGGUGAGAGAAAGCUUCUCCACCAUCUCCAUGCUAGCCAAGUUGUUGCAGCUCCCUCCGUCUAUUAUGACGCGCACAGAACGUUCCUUCACAACUCCCUUGGUAUGGAACAAAUUGUGCCUCUGAUUUUGCUCAGCUUGUGUGACCUGCACACUCAAAACACGUUGAGCAACUAAACAUUCAUACAUGUCAGCGUCUUCAGGAGCCAUGUAUUGCGUCUCAUGAUCAGAAUCAUCUCCACCAUGUUCUUCACGUGUAAUAAGAGCCAAAGUCUCCUCAUCAUAGUCACUAGCGGACUCAUAUCCACCACCCUCGGUAGCAAUCAUCACACGCAGAGAUUUGCAUUCUCUCGCAUAAUGACCUCCUCCCUUACAACGACGACAAAUAAUAUCACUUGUGUGCCCUGUUGAUGCCAUGGAAUAAGAAGAACUCUGUGCAGGCCCGGUAGGUGCGCUCUUGGCAGAUAAUGGUGGUUGUGCCUGUUUUCUUGUAUCAUGGCUGGAGGAGGCACCUGAUUGAGGUGCUGGUGCAGUUGAAGUAGAAGAUGCACGCGGUGUCCAUGAUGAAGGUCGGCCUGCAGAAAAGUUAGUUCGCGCCAAUGCUCGUCGAUCCUGCACUUCACGUUCAGCUUUACAAGCAAGAUGGAAUAAACGAGUGAUAUUAGUAUACUCCUUAUAGUCUAGAAUGGUCUGAAUCUCUCUACUUAAUCCACCCAGAAAACGUGCAAGCAUAGCUUCAUUCUCCUCAACAAAACCACAUCGAAUCAUGCCAGUUUGUAAUUCCUGAUAAUAUUCUUCUACAGAAUUUUUCCCUUGUCUUAAACGCUGCAAAUUUUGAAGCAAUUCACGUUGAUACUAUGGUGGAACCCAACGCGUACGCAUAGCAGUUUUCUAAGCAGCCCAAGUAGUUGGAAUAGGAUAUAAUCUACAAUGUUCAGACCACCAGACACAUGCAAAACUAGUGAAAGCACAAACAUCAGCAGCAACCCGUCUCUCCUCGGGAUAUUGUAAACAUGUAAAACGUUGUUUAGUUUCUAACUCCCAAGUAAGAUAUAUAUCAGGAACAUAUCUACCCUCAAAUGGUGGAAUAUUCAAUUUCAGUUUAGGAAUAUGGACAUCAUCUCGUACCUGAGGUGGUGGUGCAGGCCUACCAUUACGAAUAUAUACCUGAGGUCGACCUGCUAGCGGUGGUGCUGGUGGCUGCACGUAGUUCGGAUUUUGAUCAACCUCAUCCUCAUAAUCACCCGCAUACUCAUCAUCCUCCUGGGUACCAGCAGCAGCAGUAGCACGAGCCAAAGAAGCAUCAAUAACAGGAACAGCAGCACUAGAAGUUUGGCCAUCCUCAAUAGGAACACGCUUCGCUCGUCCAUACUGAUUCGGAAGGAGGCGUUGUUGUUGUUGUUGCAGAGGUGUGUCAGUGUACUAGAAUAGGGGUACCCUAGUACCCCGAACUUGUGCACGGACAGUUGCAGCAACCCGCGGCAAGGCUUGCCGGGCGAACGCCAAGAUCCUCCGUGGUUCUCUUGGAGCCAUUCAAGAACAAAGUAUUUAAGCUCAGGAGACAUGGCCCCGGCAAGAGGAGCUUGCCGGGAAGGCCAACCAAGGCACUCCAAGGAACUUGCCGCGACGUGUCACACACUCCGGCAAGGCAACAAGGCCCCAGCAAGAGGAGCUUGCCGGGAGGACCAACCAAGGUACCUCGAGGCCCGGUGAGCGACAAGCUUUCGGACCCGACAAGAUAACAGUAGCGGCAAGGCGCUUGCCGCGGCAGGCGGCCACUCUGUGCCCAUGCUCCAGCGCAUCCACCAACGUGUCGCUCUGGGGGCCUCUCCAGGCGCGCGUGGCAGGAGGCUGUGCAGCCAGCGGUGCGCAGUGGCAUGCGAAGCUGACAAGAUCGCCAUCAUGGCGAACAGUGGCGCCCCUAACGGUCCUUUUCUGCAGUGUUUGGGCGACUCAGACGGGCAUUUAAUGCCCUUGUCCCCUGCCGUCAGGGUUAGGUAGGGUGCACUGUACAAGUAACUGUACCAACCACCCCACUUUUUACAUUUGUACCCUUCUCUGCAUUGCCACCUGUCGGUGACCCCUUGAGCAUAUAAAAGGAGGCCCAUGCGCAACGUAGAGGGGGUUCGGAUUCAUUCGUAAGCCAGAAAACACUUAGCUCUCGCGAGCAAGAACAUAAUACAACCAGACAAGCAGCAGUAGGAGUGUUAUCUCUCCGGAGAGCUCCGAAGCUGGGUAAACUGCUCGUGUGCUUCGCCUUGAUCUGCUCUUCGUGUGAUCUCCGCCCCCCGCCGAACCGAAAGGGGCCCGGUCCGCCGGCCCCAUAGGUGUCCGUGGAUCAGUUUCCCCGACAUCUUUGGCGCGCCAGGUAGGGGGCGUCGAGAUUGUGUGAACCUGAUCCAGCGUUUACACGAGCUAGAUCUUCAUUCCCUUCAUCAACAUGCCACCGAAGAAGAAGACUUCGGCAGCAGCCGCUCCGUCCACGUCACUUCUGCCACCGUUGGAGCAAACGGGUGGUGGAAUGGACGCCGGCGGAAGAAUGGACGUCGACGAGGAAGCCUAUGAUGCUGCCAGGUCCAAGGACAAGGCUGCACAAACCUCGGCGACUGUACAUGUUCCGCGCCACUCUCAGGAGGCGCAAGACCAACAGCAUCAUGGCACUCGCAGUGCCAUACGCAUGGUAGGCCAAGACCAAGCUAGUGAAUCUCGGGGCGCUCAAGACCAGCAUGCACGCCAGCGUGCUGGCACGAGCGGGGCACGGUCGCCUGGACGGGAUACUGCUCCUUCUAACAUAGUUAGAAGUCCGAGCACGUCCCGCUCCUCGCGCCGUCCGCCAUUGCCACCCACCACUCCAGCAGAAGCUUUGGCGCGAGCUCAACUGCUCCUAGAUUACCCUCCGACGUCGGACAAGAUCGACGAAUGGAGGGCCACCAUUCAAAGUCUCAUCGGCUACGCCAACGGCGACACUCCACGGCGGCUGAGCGCGUCGCCGCCGCGGCAGGGUUGCCGGGCGCGAGCCGGUGGCGACGAAAUGGGUGGAGGUGCAACUACCAUGCAAUCAACACCCCGAAGGCCAAGAUCGCCGACUCGCCAGAUCCACCUCGACAGCGACUCCACCGCAUCAUCGGAUCCACGAGCUCGUCGCGAUCAGCGCCAAGUUCUUCAUGAUCGACAACAAGAAGACGCUCGAACUCGCAUCGAGCGCCGAAGAGAAGCGCGACGUCAAUCUGACAAGCGCGCUGGGCCCUUUGUUGACAUGCAUGUGCCAGGGGAACCAGGCGAUCUGCCAUACGCGGUAGGUUGCCCUGCGUUCACUCGUGAGCUGCGGCAAGUCCAGUGGCCCAGCACGAAGAACUUCAAGCCAGACGUACCGGAGAUGUACGACGGCAAGAUGCAUCCAUCGGAGUUCCUCAGCAUCUACACCAUUGCGGUGCAGGCUGCCGGGGGACGGGAUGACAAGAUCCUUGCCAACUACUUCCCGCUGGUGCUCAAGCCCAACGUCAGAUCCUGGCUCAUGCACUUGCCGGACAACUCCAUAUCCUCUUGGGCUGAUCUGUGCCAUCAGUUUGUCGGCGCCUUCACAGGCGGACACAAGCCUCAUGGCCAGGAGAGUGAUCUUCAUCUGCUCGCCCAGAAGGAAGGAGAGCCCCUGCGCAAGUACAUUCAGAGAUUCAGCAGUGUGCAGCACAACAUCCAGACGUCCACCCUGCCGCGGUGAUCAGCGCGUUCCAUCAGAACGUGCGAAACCGCAGGAUGCGGGAGGAAAUGGCGAUGUGCAAGAUCAGGGACGUCAGUGAGUUAUAUGCACUGGCUGACAAGUGUGCACAUGCUGAGGAAGGGAGGAGACUCCCCGGAGAGAAUGUAGGAGCGGGAGGAUCUGACAGUGAAGAUGCUGCCCCGGCAAGGAAAAACCGGCGGCGGAACAACAGGAAGAGGAAAGGCAAAGAGGUGCUAGUUGUUGAGCAGUCCGGCAACGGUGGUGGCGCCAAGAAAGCCAAAGCUGGUGACUCCGGCAAGGAGGUUGCCGCGGAGGUGGCGGUCGCCGACAAGCAGGAUGGCACCAACAAGCAGUAUUGCAAGAUCCACCGCACCAAGGGCCAUGAUCUCCAGAACUGUAAGAAAGUCGAGCAGCUUGUUGAGCAACAGAAAGCUGAAUACAAGAGGUGCGACAAGGAGAAGGCCUAGGAAGGUGCUGGGGGAUCCGGCAAGAAACGUCCCGGCCGAGGAGGACGCCGCGGCAAGCCAAGCAGCUACAAGGAGACAGACCUCCUCGCGGCCGCGACAAGGAUGAAGAUGACGACGACGAUGAAGACAUGGAUGAUGAGGAGACUGAUGAGCAGGAGUUCCAGAAAGCCACAGAGGUCCUGUGCGUUGAUGGUGGUGCUUCUCUGCAUACCUCGCACCGUCAGCUCAAGCAGUGGGUGCGGGAAGUUAAUGCAGCAGAACCACCCGUCAAGUCACGCAAGCCUCUGAAAUGGUCCAGCACGCCUAUCAUCUUUGAUAUUGAGGACCACCCUGAUCGCAUAACUGCGUUCGGGUGCUUGCCGAUGUUGGUUUCACCAACAAUCCGCAACCUCAAGGUCACUAAGAUGCUAGUUGAUGGCGGGGCCAGCUUGAACCUGAUCUCCUCCGCGGUGCUCCAGAAACUCUAGAUCCCUGACAGCGAGCUCGAAGAGACCGGUACAUUUCAAGGAAUCAACCCAGGAAGGAGCAAGCCGAAAGGAAAGAUCACAUUGCCAGUAACAUUUGGCAGCGAGCUGAACUUCAAGACUGAGAGGGUCACAUUUGAUGUUGCUGACUUUCCAUUACCUUACAAUGGAAUCCUUGGCCGUCCGGCACUCGCCAAGUUCAUGGCAGCCUCUCACUAUGCGUACAACGUACUGAAAAUGCCAGGCCCGAUAAAUGUCAUCUCUGUCCAUGGCGACAAGAAGGAUGCUCUUAUCUGUGCCGACAAGAUCUACCGGGAAGCAGCAGCGGCAGCAGAACGCAAGACACUUGCCGCUGAAGCUCCCGGGGGGAAGAAGAAGACCAAGUCCGGAAAGAGCUCUGAUGCCCACUCCGGCAAGCGCACCUCUUCGGAGUGCUGCACUACCGUCGAGGACGCACCAUCGAGCUCCACCGGCAAGUGUAAGAAGGCAAUGGCAGCUCCACCUGAGACCAAGGAGGUGUCCACCAAGGAGGACGGCACUGGUGGUACCUUCACCAUCAGCGCCACUCUUGACCCCAAAUAGGAAAGCGCACUCGUUGCUUUCCUGCGGGCGAAUGUCGACAUGUUUGCGUGGCAACCGUCUGAUAUCCCCGGUGUUCCCAGGAAAGUAAUUGAGCACCACCUUGCCGUCUGUCCUCAUGCGCGGCCUGUUAAGCAGAAAGUCAGGAAACAGGCAGUGGAGCGCCAAGAAUUCAUCGCAGAAGAAAUCAAGAAGUUGGAAGGAGCAGGCCUUGUCAGAGGAGUGCUCCAUCCCACGUGGUUGGCCAAUCCUGUUGUCGUGCGCAAGGCUAACGGGAAAUGGAGGCUUUGUAUUGACUUCACAGAUAUUAAUAAAGCUUGUCCCAAAGACCCAUUUCCCUUGCCGCGCAUUGACCAGAUUGUUGACUCCACAGCCGGAUGUGAUUUGCUUUCAUUUCUUGAUGCAUACUCAGGAUACCAUCAGAUCUUCAUGGCAGAAGAGGAUGAAGAGAAAACCACAUUUAUCACCCCGUGUGGCACGUACUACUUCGUACGGAUGCCUUUCGGUUUGAAGAAUGCUGGUUCAACAUUCGCAAGGGUAGUCCACCACGCUUUUGAGCCGCAGAUGCACAGAAAUGUGGAAGCCUACAUGGAUGACAUAGUGGUCAAGAGCAAGAACAGGGCGACCCUGAUUCAAGAUUUAGACGAGACAUUUGCAAAUCUGCGCAAGAUCAACCUCAAGCUUAACCCCGAGAAGUGCGUGUUUGGAGUCCCUUCCGGCAAGCUUCUCGGGUUCUUCGUGUAUCAGCGGGGAAUUGAAGCCAAUCCCGACAAGAUCAAGGCCAAUGAGCAGAUCGAAGCACCAAAGCGCGUCAAGGAUGUACGAAGGCUUGCCCGUUGCAUAGCUGCUCUCAGCAGGUUUAUCUCUAGAUCUGCUGAGUGCGCCCUGCCAUUCUUCAAAAUUUUGAAAAAGGCAGGUCCAAUAAAAUGGACUCCAGAGGCGGAGGCUGCGCUGCAGGACUUGAAGAGAUACCUGUCCUCCACUCCAACACUUGUCGCACCUAAGCCACAAGAGAAGUUGCUGCUGUAUAUAGCGGCAACCAAUCAAGUGGUUAGUGCUGCGUUAGUGGCGGAGAGGGAGGCAGAUGAUGAGCCAGCAACCACGGCAGAUGCAUCCAGCGACAAGCAGGGGGCUUCGCCGACAAGCUCUGGUCCCGACAGAGAUGGAUCCGCGCAGGAGCAUGAUAAGAUGCAGAAGAGAAUGGUGCAGCGUCCAGUUUACUUUGUCAGUUCCCUUCUACAGGGGGCUAGAUCAAGGUACUCUGGUGUGCAGAAGUUGCUUUUCGGCCUCCUCAUGGCCUCGAGAAAGCUGCGCCAUUACUUCCAAGCACAUGAGAUCACAGUCGUCACUCACUUUCCGCUGAAGAGGAUACUGCAAAAUCCAGAAGCGACAGGCAGGAUUGUCGAGUGGGCGCUGGACCUGUCAAGCUUUGGCCUCAAGUUUGAGAGCACUUCAACUAUCCAAAGCAGAGCAUUGGCAGAGUUCAUAGCAGAAUGGACGCCAACACCAGAUGAAGAAAUUCCAGAGACGAGCAUCCCCGUCAAAAAGGCAAGCAAGGAGUGGCUGAUGUACUUUGAUGGUGCCUUCUCGCUGCAAGGCGCCGGUGCAGGCGUGCUGCUUGUCGCGCCCACCGGAGAGCACCUCAAGUACAUAGUCCAGAUGCACUUUCCCAAGGAGCAAGCAACCAACAAUACUACAGAAUAUGAAGGAUUGCUUGCCGGUCUCAGAAUCACAGCAGACCUUGGGAUCAAGAAGCUCAUUGUCAGGGGUGACUCACAGCUUGUCGUCCGCCAAGUGAACAAGAACUACCAGAGUCCAUUGAUGGAAGCAUAUGUUGAUGAAGUGAGGAAGCUAGAAGAGCACUUUGACGGCCUACAGAUGGAGCAUAUCCCAAGAGCUCAGAAUGACACUGCUGAUGGCCUGUCAAAGUGCGCCACACUAAAGUUACCUGUGGAACCAGGGAUCUUUGUGCUCAAGUUGACUCAACCAUCCGUAACACCAUCAAUUGGACAAAGCAAGAAGAGGAAGUUGGUUUCUGGUGACUACUUUCCGGCAGAGCUCCCCGAAGCCGCCGCCAAGAAAGUCCCCAAGAUCAACACCAAGGAUGCUGAGGGGCAGUCUGCUCCGGCAAGCCUUAUGGUUUGUUCCGUUGAAGCAGACGCUCCCAACAAGUUUUGCUCCGGCAAGCUUGCCGGGGAACAUCAAGCUCCGGCAGGGCCGCAAGUCCUUGCCGUAGAAGCGGAUGUUCCCACAGCAGCAGAUGUGCCUUUAGUCCUUGUUGUCGAGCCACAAGCUCCAGCAUGGGCACAACAGAUUGUCCAUUUCCUUCAGACAGGAGAACUUCCCGAAGAGCAAAAAGAAGCGGAAAAAGUAGCCCGGCAGUCAAGUAUGUACCAGUUUGUCGAUAGAAUACUAUACAGAAGAAGCUCAACGAUGUGAAAUUGAAGUGUAUUUGCCGGGAAGAUGGACAAAAGCUGUUGGCGGAGAUACAUGGAGGCAUAUGUGGCCACCACAUUGGCGCAAGAGCACUUGCCGGCAAAGCUUUCCGGCAAGGCUUCUUUUGGCCGACAGCCCUCCAGGAUGCAACUGCACAAGUAACCAAGUGUGAAGCGUGCCAGUUCCACUCCAAACAGAUACACUAGCUAGCUCAAGCUCUCCAGACGAUCCCUUUAUCCUGGCCAUUUUAGGUCUAGGGGCUCGAUAUCCUCGGCCCUUUCCCCCGAGCUGCCGGGGGCUUUGAGUACUUGUACGUCGCAAUCGGCAAGUUCACAAAGUGGCCGGAAGUGCAGCCAGUGAGGAAGGUGACAGCACAGUCAGCAGUCAAGUUCUUCAGGUCAAUUGUUUGCCGUUUAGGGAUCCCCAACAGGAUCAUCACCGACAACGGCACGCAAUUCACAAGACGCACCUUCAUGCAGUACGUCCAAGACCUUGGCGCCAAGGUCUGCUUCGCUUCUGUUGCUCACCCGAGAAGCAACGGUCAAGCAGAGAGGGCAAAUGCUGAAGUGCUGCGCGGACUCAAGACCAGAACUUUCGACAGGCUGCGCAAGUGCGGAAAAAACUGGAUCGAGGAGCUACCGGUGGUUCUUUGGUCGAUCAGAACGACGCCAAAUCGAGCCACUGGCCAGACGCCUUUCGCUCUAGUCUAUGGAGCAGAGGCAGUUCUCCCCACGGAACUCGUAUACGGAUCGCCUCGAGUGCUCGCUUAUGAUGAGCUUGAGCAAGUACAGCUGCGACAAGACGACGCGCUGCUCCUUGAGGAAGAUCGUCUUCAUGCUGCUGUACGAGCUGCUCGAUACCAGCAAGCUUUGCGCCGCUACCAUAGCCACAAAGUUAAGGCCAGAAGCUUCGAGGCAGGCGACCUUGUUCUUCGUCGCGUUCAGUCCGCCAAGAAUUCCAACAAGUUAACGCCGAAGUGGGAAGGCCCUUAUCGGGUGAAACGAGUCACAAGGCCCGGCGCUGUCCGCCUCGAGACCGAAGAUGGCAUUCCGGUGAGCAACUCUUGGAACAUAGAACAUCUUCGUAAGUUUUUCCCGUAGGGCGCGGUUGCCGGAACCCGUUCCGGCAACCACCUUUUGUACAAGUCUGGCCGCUGUUGCAUGUAAUCCUUUGUACAAAGCCGGGCGCAGAUCCCGUGCAUAAGUAAAACCCCAUGUGCUCCAUAUCAUGCAUUAGUUUCUUUCUUGCAUGCGUUAUCUAACACUUUGUGCAGCACCUAUAUCCGGUACGCAAUAACGAGCCGAAGGGCUCCAUAUCAUUAUUUUCUCUUCUUUCUUCUUUUCAACAAAGGAAAAGAAGGUUCCCUCGCACACAAGUUUGCCGGGGGGGAAGGAGAAGGUUGCGGUAUGGACCAGGCGUCGUUCAAGCAAAGUUUUGCCUUGCCGGGAAGCAAACAACAGAAAAGCUAAGUUGCCAAAGUUUGAGGAAUCAGUUUUUAAAUUCUUGAGUUAUCUUCCUCGAACGACCCUGCUUUGUAUGGAAAACCUGUGCGCGGAGGAACCAACUCGUGGCUAGUUGCGCCCUUACUUUGUUUCGAGUCUGCUCAACAACUUAAGUGUGCUGCAUCUAGUCGCGACAAGGUUUCUUGUCCGAAGCAGCGCCGCUAGUAGGCUGAUGAUGUUCCGCACUCAGCGCUCGCGGCUCGGGUGCCUGCGCCGACAAGUUCCCUAGAAGCGUAGGGUAAAAACAUAGAAAGGAAGGAAUCUAGUAGAGGAAAUAACAUAACAAUUGAUAACAGAAAUAAAGUUAUAUUACAAGAUAACUUGUCACGGCUCUAACAGACUGUUUUCAUAACAUGAUUAGCAGCGACAAGGGAAAAGAGGAAAUGGGCGGCCUAGUCUACGCAGUCGCCCUCAACCCUCUUGAUCUCGCUCACCUUGUCCACAAUGGGUGCGACAAGGGCCUUGAGUGCGUCCCGAUCGGCGUCUGGUGGCAAGGACUUGAGGACGUUGGUGAAGCUGAGGCCUGGAUUGCGGAAGGCCACCUUCAUCAGCACCUUCUGGAGAACCCCGGCGUAGAUUUUGCGCGAGUCGUCGGCCAGCUGCUUUGGGAUCCUUUCCCGGAGCCGCUGGAGUGCCGUCGCCACGCCCUUGAAGAACAGGCUGAGCUUGGCGCUGGGUUGGAGAUUCUCGUCGGAGGGAUACCCAAAGUCCUCCAUCCCCAGCUGCGCCAGCUCCUCGUCGAUGACUGCAGCAAUAUUCACCAGACCCUAGGUCCAGUGCUCCACAGUAUCUCUGAAUGAGUUCUGGGUAACUGCGAUGCUCUCCAGUAGCGCCUUGUCAGCUUUGACCUUCUCCGACAAGGUCUUCUCCCGCUCCUUGGCGGCCUCCAGCGUCUGCAUCAGCGUGGCCAGCUUCAACUCCAGGUCCGCAUUGGAAUCCUUGGCGGCGCUGAGAUCCUUGCCCCUCUCAGCGAGAAGACCUUGCAGCUCACCGUGGGCGGCAGCAUCCUUCUCACGAUCACGCUUGAGCGCGGCAAGCUCCUCACCGCUCUUCCCAAUGUUGGCCUCCAGCUGCGCCACCUUCUCCUCCAGCUCUUUCUUGGCGGCCUCUGCGAUUGCGGCAGCGUCCUUUGCUUCCUUGAGCGCCCCGCCAAGUGCUUGCUCGCGCUCGGCGAGCUCCUCCUCGUAGCUGUCGAGGUUGGCCUUCCGCUGCACCAAUUCGCCUUCUCGCGCGGACUGCUUCUCGGCGGCCAGCCUUUGUUCCUCCUCAGCUUCGGCCUUCUCGAGAAGGAAGGCCGUGCGCUCCUCGUCGAGUCGCUCCCGCUCCUGUGCCAGGGACCGGAGAGCUUCUUGAUUGUGGCCCCGGAGCUCCUCCGCGCGCUUCUCCAUAUCAACUCCCGCCUUCGCGACAAGCGCUUCCCGGGAAGCCAGCUUGGCUUGCCGUGCGCGGUAGAGUGACAGCAGCUUCCCCAGCAGCUGCUCCUCCUCAGGCUCGCCACUGCUGCUGCUGGGCGCGUCGACCAACGACAGUCCGGCGGAGGCGACCACCUCCUCAUCGAAAGUUUCCCCCUCGACCGGCGCCCUGGAGCUCGACGCCCAGGGUAGCUUGAUGAAGAUAUCGUCGCUGGCUUUCAAGUAGGCGCCGGGCUGGGGCUCCUCGGAGCCCGGCUCCGCAGCAGCGGCAGAGGGAUCGGCGGUCGGUGCAGCGCCUGGCGCUCCUGCGGCCUCAGGGUCGUCAGUGCGAUCGCCCGACCCCUCGCCGGCUUCUGCGGCGGCAGCCUUGGCGGCCUCCUCGCCGGCGGUCUGAUUAGCACCGGCCCCUUCUUCGUUGGCGGCGGCGUCGUCAGUGCUGCCAUGCGCGCCUUCCUCGCUGGCGCCCUCUGUCUCUGUUGGCUCAGCAGCAGAUGGGUCUGAAGAACGAAGAAGGGAGAAAAAUCAAUCAAAAAUCCAAGAGAAGAAAAUCAGAAGAAGAAGAGCCUAAGGGAAAGUUUUUGGACAAGUGAAUUACCUGUGCCAAGAUCUGCAGUUGCGGUCUCGGCUGACGCAGGAUCGACGGUGCUGCCCCUUGCCGGAGAGUUCUCCCUUGCCGGAGAGCGCUCCCUUACCGGGAACUCCUCCCUUAGCGGCAUAGUGGAAGCAGAUGGCACUUCAGGACCAGCUUCCGGGCGCUCCUGAUAUGGCUGCUCUGCUCCUACACAAAUCAACAAGCAAGAUAUCAACAAAGGAAAAAGCACUCAUGCGCUCCUGACAGCAGAAAGCUAACUAUGAACUUACGCUGGGGGCUGCGCUGGGGGCUGCUUUGAGGAGUGGUUGCCGGGUCCGUCAAGGUGGUCUCGGACCCACCCCCUGCUGACACGGUGGGGUCAUCUUCGAUGACAAUCACCGCGGCCUUGGCCCUCUUCGCCACUCUCUGGGCCAGCGUCCUGAAAAGAAAGGAGUCCAGAUUGAAGCAAGUCAGAUACAAGAUAAAAACAGCAAGAUUGAAGAACUACAAGAGCACCAAAGAAACUUACUCUUCUUCCUCCUCGUCGGAGCUGAGCGCGGAAAGAUCAAAGUCCGGCUCCCCUCCGGUGCGGCGAGGCGGAGGAGUAGGAUCCCUUGCCCGCUAGGCGGGGGCGAUGGCGGUGGCCCGGGAAGAUCCCGCUCCAGUUGCCGCUGCUGCGUGAGGCGCUCCCGCGGCAACAUUGCUUGCCGCGGUAGAGCGUGUCGCACGGCUUGGUGGCUGUUGACCCGGCUGUCGCCCCGCUACGUUCGCGACCCUACGAAGACGCCUCCUUGGCGGGGCCGGGGGCUUCGCCUGGGGCACGCUUUCUGAAGGCUCGGGCUCUUCAUCGCCCGCCUCGCUCGUCUCAGCUUCAGAACCGGCAGGCUCGUCCUCACCAAUGAACUCCGCGUGCUCGGCGAGGUUUGCCGCCUCUGCCGCCUCCGCCUCCUCCACAGUGAACCCGAACGCGCCCGCGGCAGCUGCAGCCGCAACCUCUUCCGCCCUAGUGGCGAUGCGCUGCAGCUCCUCAUCGAUGGUGUCACGGGUGAGGCUCUUCUGCUCGUCAGCGUGGACCGGCACUUCUUCCAAGUUGUCAAAGAAUGCUUGCACGACGUCAUCCGCAGGCUCUUGCCAAGUUGGAACGAUUCCGUGUGAAUCGCACAACGGCAUCAUGGCGCGGAUCCGAUCAAGCGAAGAAUUAUUGCACAAUGGAACGACGCCCCUCGGCAGCGUGAAUGGGUGCUGGGGAUCGCGUUUGAACAACUCCAGGAGCAUUGCAUCCAGCUCCAAGAUGGUGAAGUUGUAGUUGAGGCCCGGCCGCAGCCUCAUGAUGUCCGCCGAGUUCUUGAAUUCCCAGGCGGGCCUCCCCCUCUCCUGCAGGGGGGCGAUGCGGCGGCGGAGGAAAUCUGCGCCUACAGCACCUACGGUGAGCCCGGCAAGCCUGAGGCGAAGGAUCCUAGUAAUGGCGAUCUUCAGCCUCUCGUCUUCUGGGCCACGUUGCUCCAGUCAUUGCCACGCACUAUUGGAGCUUGGCGCACGGUGGUGAAGGGCUGCGGAUUCUCCUCGACGAUCCAGCACCACUCCGCUCUCCACUCCUCCCACUUCCUGCGGAGCUCACCCUCCAAGUACGCCUCCUUCUUGCCGACUCUCGAGAUCCAGGCGAUCCCUCCGGCAAGCGGCUCUCCUCUCUCUACCCGAGGUAUGAAGAAGUGGCGGAAAAGGGCAACAUUGGGGUGGACUCCGACAAAGUUUUCGCACAAAUGUGCGAAAACUGCCAUGGUCAGAACGGUGUUGGGGGUGAAAUCAAGGAGGCGGAAGCCGUAGGUGUUCAUGAUAUCACAGAAGAACUCCGAGAAGGGCGGGCAGAGCCCGCAAUAGAAGAACAGCGCGAAGAAUGGGUACCCGUUUGGAGCCAGUUCCGAAGCAGCGGCCGGGAGAACCCUCAUGCGCGGAUGCGCCCGCGUCUCCGUCGCCCAAAAGAGGUAGAAGUACUCCCUCGGCUCCUUCACGCCGAGCUGGGGGGAGAAGAUCGCCCGCUCCUUCCGCAGCGCCGCGAGCCACUGCGCCUCGGCCGACUUCACGCCCUUUCCCUUGUCGGCUUUCGGAGCCAUGGCGGAGGUGGUGGGGGAGGUCGACGGCGUUGGUGAUGCUAGUGGCAAUGGGGGGCGGAGCGCUGCUCUCUCGGCUUCAAGAAGAAGGGGGGAGCGGCGGAGGUUCGUGAAGAUGGAGUAGAAGCAACCAGCGAGGGGGAACGAACUGCCCCUGUUUCCUCUGCUUAUAAAGAGGGACGGGGCAGACGUUUUGCCCUUCCGAAUAAAGAACCACCCACGAUCUCUCCCACGAUGCCGCAUUCAACGCGUGCCGUUAGGGGAGAGCGCGGUGGAUACGGAGCGAGAUUCGGCGUGGCCCAGUCCGCGUGUGCCCGUGCCCUGUCUUGGGCCUGGCCCAACAGCGCUCGGCACCAUGUCUGGCCCAGGCCCGGGGGCUCCUGUCGGUGUACUAGAAUAGGGGUACCCUAGUACCCCGAACUUGUGCACAAGCAGUUGCAGCAACCCGCGGCAAGGCUUGCCGGGCAAACGCCAAGAUCCUCCGUGGUUCUCUUGGAGCCAUUCAAGAACAAAGUAUUUAAGCUCAGGAGACAAGGCCCCGGCAAGAGGAGCUUGCCGGGAAGGCCAACCAAGGCACUCCAAGGAACUUGCCGCGACGCGUCACGCGCUUCGGCAAGGCAACAAGGCCCCGGCAAGAGGAGCUUGCCGGGAGGACCAACCAAGGUACCUCGAGGCCCGGUGAGCGACAAGCUUCCGGACCCGACAAGAUAACAGCAGCGGCAAGGCGCUUGCCGCGGCAGGCGGCCACUCUGUGCCCACGCUCCAGCGCAUCCACCAAUGUGUCGCUCUGGGGGCCUCUCCAGGCGCGCGUGGCGGGAGGCUGUGCAGCCAGCGGUGCGCAGUGGCAUGCGAAGCUGACAAGAUCGCCAUCAUGGCGAACGGUGGCGCCCCUAACGGUCCUUUUCUGCACUAUUUGGGCGACUCAGACGGGCAUUUAAUGCCCUUGUCCCCUGCCGUCAGGGUUAGGUAGGGUGCACUGUACAAGUAACUGUACCAACCACCCCACUUUUUACAUUUGUACCCUUCUCUGCGUUGCCACCUGUCGGUGACCCCUUGAGCAUAUAAAAGGAGGCCCAUGCGCAACGUAGAGGGGGUUCAGAUUCAUUCGUAAGCCAGAAAACACUUAGCUCUAGCGAGCAAGAACAUAAUACAACCAGACAAGCAGCAGUAGGAGUGUUAUCUCUCCGGAGAGCUCCGAAGCUGGGUAAACUGCUCGUGUGCUUCACCCCGAUCUGCUCUUCGUGUGAUCUCCGCCCCCCGCCGAACCGAAAGGGGCCCGGUCCGCCGACCCCAUAGGUGUUCGUGGAUCAGUUUCCCCGACAAGGUGCGAUAGGUGCAUCCGGCGGUGGUGGUGGAAAACGCGCGAGCAAUUCAUUAAACUUGCUAUCAAGCUUUGUUUCUAAUGUCUUCUCAAUGCCAUCUAUCUUCUCCAUGGCCUCGUCAAAUCUGUUUAGCACAUCUUGCACCUGUCCACUCAUCAUUUGCUUUAUCAUGUAGCUGUUUGUUCGUCAGGUUCUCCCAAUCAGUCUCAUCGGCUUGUGAUCCUACCAUGGUUAGCAGCAAAUAGAAACACACAAGAAUAUGAUCCUACAGACUACUAAGAAGUGGUGGUGGUGUAUCACAAACCCGUCAAGAAAAUCUCAAAUUCUUACCAGUUCUUACCCAGCAGCAGGUGGUGAUCGGCAACCGUUGUAGUCAAAACUCUCAAAGCUUGGAUAGAGCGAUUACCAGGGAGAGUCAAACGCACGACAUAUAUGUAUGUGGAGCUGGGAAGGCUUAUAAUAUGGUAGCAAAAGAAGGAUCAGCAAUAACCAAUUCAGAGAUGCAAAGUUGAAUAAACGCUCAACGACGGUACUGUGCUGGUCCUAGGCUAGACUGUACUAGAGACGCGAGCCUAGAACACUGACAAAAUCACGGCGCUGCACGUAAACAAGGGAAAAGCACACUCUGGAUUUUUUUUCGCUCUUUUUUUUGCGCUGCUUUUUUGCGCCGCUUUUUUUUGUUGCGAAAAAUCACUAUAAUGGCGAGUGUCUCAAAACUCUUCCCAGGUCAAACUGAUAGGAUGGGCACGAAAUUUUUUUGACCAAUUUUUUUUUCGACUGCCCGGACCCAAAAACUGGAAAUGGGUCAAGAAAAACUUUCUAUAACGGCGAGUGUCUCAAUAUGCUUAGAAACACCUAAAAAUAGGAUAGCCAGAAAAUUUUUCGACAAGUGCGUUUUCGGAAAAUUUUGGGCCUAAACGGAGGGUGGUUUCCGGACUCUUUUUUUUUCAAAACCUACUCCGGCAAGGAAACACGAAUCAGAAUCUAGAUGGAUCUUGAAAACAAACCUAAUAUGACAAGAACUCGGAUUGGUGGUGGAUAUAUGGUGGUAGAUGGCAGCGGUGGUCGUAUAUGAUAGCGGUGGUGGUAUAUGGAUACAGAUUCGAAGCGGUGGCGGAUAAGCGGUGGUGGUAGAUGGCAGGGGCGAUGAUGAUGGUGCGGCGGCGGCGUGACAACUUAUGACCAGAACUCGAAACUCUAAAAGACUAGACUCUAAGACCAGCAACUAGACACGACGAUGCAACCGCAAAUUCAACAAAGCAAAACCCUAAAAAGAUUAUGCAAUGGCUCAGACUGGUUCGGAUAUGAUGAACUAACCCUAAUUUUUUUGUGGCUCUUUCGUGGACUAUAGGUAUGAAGAAAAGACUCGAUCUAAACUACGAAAAACUGUAAAAUCUCACCGAGCAACCUGGCUCUGAUACCACUUGAUAGAGGCGGAGGUGUCCCAUCUUUCGAUGAGAUGAUGGAUUUCGCUUUGGUGGAAGUCGACUUUGAUGAUCCGACUACGAACGUGCGAGGACGUCGCGCCUUAGCAAUCGCUAAACCAACUCCGAGAGGUUAUUGACCACGCCGGAGCACGAUCAACCUGACCACGAGGAUCUGUUUCCUGCGAGCAAACGAAGAACAAGCAAGAAACUGAGAUUGCAAUCUGGAUAUUGCGAAUAUAAGAUGAAAGCUUUAUUGAUCAAGGUGGGGUUCUAUGACGCCUUUGUCUGGUCGUUGAACACAAACGAAGUACGCGAAGUUGCAGCUAUGGCGAACUUUAAUCUAAACAAACCCCAAAGUCUAAACGGUGCCCUAAGGGCUGUAUAUAUGAAGGAAGAGAGGGGGAAUUUCGUGGCCCUUCGUGGAGGGGUCCGAAAUCAACCCUAUCUCUUGUUUCCCCACACAUACGGACUCUAAAAAUAGCCUAUACUAAUGUAUUUCGAAAUUACAGGGCCUGGCCCAAUAAAAAGGUGACGCAUCACCUAUAAUAGCCUCUGGACGAAAUUUAUGAAGUGGCAUCUUGUAUAUUUCGUCCAAGGCUUCAUGCACUCGUUAUGGUGGCUUCAAAAACCUGAAAUCAUCACUCGUAACUCCGUUCUUGUUCCCCUUGCGCAUGCCAUCAUCUCCAUGCUUUCUCUUGCUCCAAUGUUCAUCCUUCUCCAAGCUAGGCCCUUCAUUUGUAAGCAAAACAAAUGUAUCCAAUUUAGGCAGCAUCAUAUUCUCAUGAACAUUAGAAUCAUUACCAAGAAAUGAAAGUACCUGAUAAUUUAGUUGGCGUGCACGAGCUCUAGUAAUUGGUCCAGUAUGUAUAGCAGCAGGGGCUAUGGGUGUAACGAUGGUAUUGAUGUCCUCAUCACGUAAUAUUCAGAACCUACAUUACCUGAUGGUCAUGUAGUGCUAUGGAUUGGCGAUUAAAGAAACAUCGAGCAUAUUAACGUGGGAAAUAGAUAUACAGUAUGUUAUAAAGGAUAAGACAAGUAAUUAUUGGGUGUGAAAGAUCGGGAUGGAAGCAUUUUUUUCUAUCAUAUGAAUUGUUGAAUACAAUCUGGUAUUCAACCCCUCAAAAUUAGAUUUAAUUCAUGCUCGUACACCAUCACUUAUACAAGAAAAGAGAAGUAUUUAUAUGGCUACUCUAUAUUUUAUUUUUCGUUCACAGCACAUACAUUAUCAGUUAUAUGUUUGCCUGGGUAGGAAAGUAACAAUCAAUCCCUCAAAAUAAAAGGAAAGUAAUGAUCAAGACCUUAGCUGGCUGACGGUAACUCCAUUCGUUCUCUUCCUAUUAUUAUUAUUUUAGUUAUUUUUCUAUUCUCACGGGUAGGUUUCUUCUGUGUUGUUUUGCUUUAGGUUUCUUCAGCUUCCAUGUUGUAUGGUGGUGAAGCUUCUUCACUUCCCCUGACCAUACGCUGCAUGCUCUGCUCGCUGAAUGUGCCUGCUGUUUGUGUUUGGAUGUUGUUUCUGCCGUAUGUCAAGGUAUGUAGCAGCAGCUUUUGUUAUCCUUCCCACACCAGCGAAUGUCAGAAUUUAUCAUGUGGGAAUUUUUUUGACUAUAGUAUGAGUACAAGGUUCAGGGAAGUUCAGUCGUUUAGUAUCUCACAAAUUGUCUAGGCUUUAAAUUUAGGAGAUGAUUUGGAAGAUCAACAUAGAAAAUUAUUUAGUCUAAUGCAGAUUACAUAUUAAACGCCUUUUCAAAGCAAGUAUCGAAGAAAAUGUGGUGAGGUCUCCAUGAGAAAAUUUAAUAUAACAUUUUCUUUGACUUGAAGGAAUAUUUGUAGAUUUUAAUCUAUAGAAAGUUUGAGGGUACCAACUUUGCGAAAUUGAUGCUCUUGACUUCUAUUAGUAAUGGAUACUUCUAUGAUUCUAUAUAUCAUUUUAUACACUUAACUAAGAAGGCUUUCUAAUAGUUGAGGAGGCGCUCAUGAUUCUGAGCUCGACUCUUCCUGAUUAGCUCAACACCACGCUCGCAACUGUGGAAUCAUAGGCGUGAAAUGCUUCAGUGUGUCCAUCAAAGCCCGUGUCAUCGAGCAGAAACUAGCCUUGCUCAACCAAAUUGCACCUGUCAGCGAUGCACGGCGAGGGCACUCGGAAUCUGGCGUUUGCUCCAUUGCGAAGCAUGCAAUGUUGAGAGAAAAGGGGAGACUGCACCGGAGGAAAGCGAAGCAUGGUAGCAGGUCUGAAGAUGAGAGCAUGAUGUUCUCUUUUAGCAAAGGAUCCAUGUGUCUAUUUUUCAUCCCGUUGUAAUGCACGGGGACCUUUGAUUUGAUUUAGUUUUAUCUUCUACUGUACAUAGGGAAAUAUGGACACUAAAUAUCCAUUUCUUAGGUGUCAACCUGGUACAUUAGGCUGUAUAGUACAUGGCAGAGUUUUUCCAGCUACUAAUUCAGGUAAUCUGAUUCAUGUCACUUUGCUUUAAGCAUAGUUAACUAACAGCAAGGACAUUGCCAUAUAUGAAUGAAUGAACAAAAAAAGGAGGUACAGUAAUGAUUUCACAUAUACACUUCCCCUACAACCUAUGUCGAGGGUACCUACUGUAAUGAUUUUGCAUAUGAACUUGCUAAAACUAGUACUGCUACCUUGAGUUUGUCAAAGAAUAAUGCCACUAAAUUGCCAGCCAUUUUGGAUCUGUCAUCUUUUUCCCCACUAGGGUGCUCCCUUAAAAUUUACUACUUUAGAGACAUGAGGAUCCUCAAGUUAACACACUUGAUUCUUACUGCUGCUUAUGCAUCCCUGAACUUCAGUUAUUAUGAUUAUCUGGAUAUUUCCUAUACUUUAUCAAGUUUAGGGUUCUUAAAAUAAGGACAAACAUUUGUUUCACCUUUUGUACUUCAUCAUAAUAGCAUAUGAUUUUUAAAAAUGGCAAAUUGCCAAGUACAGUUCUGAGGUGGAGAGUUACUUAUGUAUUUUUUAUUCAUGAAUGACAUGAUCAAGGAGUCAGGUGUGAAAAUGCUUUAUAAAUCAGAUGAGACAACAUGCUAAAAUUUUGUGGUGAUUAGUGAAGGAAAGAACUAUGUACUCUUGUUUCAAGUAGACUUCAUCGCCUUAUUGUUAGAGUUAGCUUCACCUCCCACUGUUAUAUUUUUGACGUGAAUAUCAAUGCCCCCCCCACCCACACUUAUGUUGUUGAAAAUAGCAACCGCUUGAUCUUUGAUAGCAUGCAGUUGCCUAUCUACAAAUCAUAAAUGAACAAAUAAAAUGUACUUAUAUAUCCAAAUGUUGUGUAUCCUGCUUGUAGAAUUUGUUCCUAUUUAUCCUUUUUUAAUUUUUACAUAUGGGCAUCUAGUGUUUGCGGCAUCUCAAAGUUUACCUUUUUAUAUUGAUAUAUUGUACAUGGCGGAAUUUUGGGUUGUGCCUCAAAGUUUUCCCUUUUACAAGUAUAUACUGUGUAUUUUGCUGAUGCUUUGUUGCUGAGAUAUAUUCUAAGUGAUAAUCAUACAUUUCAUGUUUUCUCCUCUAUCUUAGGAGAGGAAUGAAAAUAUGGUUAGAUCCUAAAUAUGAUAUUAUGCAGCAUGACCAAAAUAUCACAUCUUAUUAAUCCCUUUCUCUUGGCAGUGUGCUACAUCUGGUCGCUCAAGGCCAAGGAUGUGAUGAAAGGCUUCUUGAUAAGUUUUUAGCUGUCUCAUUCAAAUCCAUAUAGAUUGCGAGAUGAUGGCAUAGUAUUAUCUGACAUUUUAU
rnacentral:lncRNA from 1 species